rnacentral:rRNA from 1 species
AUGUGGACCUGCCCUUGGGAGGGGAACAACAAAUGGAAAGCACUUGAACCCGCUUGGAUCACGGCGAGACAGAUAGAAGUAGGACGAAGAGCAAUAACACGAUAUGCACGUCGUGGUAAAAUAUGGGUACGUAUAUUUCCCUACAAACCGGUUACACUAAGACCCACGGAAACACGUAUGGGCUUGGGAAAGGGGUCCCCCGAAUAUCGGGUAUCCGUUGUUAAACCUAGUCGUAUACCAGUGCCCACAAGAAAUCUCGAAGCCACCCAUUAA